rnacentral:rRNA from 1 species
GGAUUAAUUAUUCUGGUGCUGCAGCCGCUAUACAGUGCAACUGCAAAUGGCUCAUUAAAUCAGUUAUCGUUUAUUUGAUAGUACCUUACUACUUGGAUAACCGUGGUAAUUCUAGAGCUAAUACAUGCUAAAAAUCCCGACCUCCGGAAGGGAUGUAUUUAUUAGAUAAAAAACCAAUGCCCUCGGGCUCCUUGGUGAUUCAUGAUAACUUAACGAAUCGCAUGGCCUUGCGCCGGCGAUGGUUCAUUCAAAUUUCUGCCCUAUCAACUUUCGAUGGUAGGAUAGUGGCCUACCAUGGUUUCAACGGGUAACGGGGAAUUAGGGUUCGAUUCCGGAGAGGGAGCCUGAGAAACGGCUACCACAUCCAAGGAAGGCAGCAGGCGCGCAAAUUACCCAAUCCCAAUUCGGGGAGGUAGUGACAAUAAAUACUGAUACAGGGCUCUUUUGGGUCUUGUAAUUGGAAUGAGUACAAUUUAAAUCUCUUAACGAGGAACAAUUGGAGGGCAAGUCUGGUCCAAGCAGCCA